AACUCAUGUUGAGAAUAUUUUCGUAGGAGCUCCUUGAACCUAUCCCAUGUCUCAAAUAGAGACUCCAAUUCCUUUUGCACAAAAGAUGAUAUUUCAUUUCAAAGCU